CCUACGGGCGGCUGCAGUGAGGAAUAUUGGUCAAUGGACGGAAGUCUGAACCAGCCAUGCCGCGUGCAGGAAGACGGGUUUCGGCUCGUAAACUUCUAUCAACAGGGACGAAAGAAAUGACGGUACCUGAAUAAGAAGCCCCGGCUAACUACGUGCCAGCAGCCGCGGUAAUACGUAGGGGGCAAGCGUUAUCCGGAAUUACUGGGUGUAAAGGGUGAGUAGGCGGCAUGGCAAGCCAGAUGUGAAAGCCUUGGGCUUAACCCGAGGAUUGCAUUUGGAACUAUCAAGCUAGAGUACAGGAGAGGAAAGCGGAAUUCCUAGUGUAGCGGUGAAAUGCGUAGAUAUUAGGAAGAACACCAGUGGCGAAGGCGGCUUUCUGGACUGAAACUGACGCUGAUGCACGAAAGCGUGGGGAUCAAACAGGAUUAGAUACCCUAGUAGUC
rnacentral:rRNA from 1 species